UGUUCCUUCACUCAUGGCUGCACAGUCUGGCAGGGCUUGCAGAGGCCACAGAGAACUACCUGGAGGCUUUGCCAGCCUGGGCCGCCUGCGGUGGUGGCAA
rnacentral:pre_miRNA from 1 species